GCCGACGGUCAUGGGUCACUUCCACUAAAAUAGCACGAGACUGGAGUAAAAUGUACUUUAUUAAUGAGAACACAUGGUGAUACAGCAAAGAAUCCAACCCUUCUGAAAAGCAAAUGGCUUCCUGUUAUACUCUACCUGAUUCAGGUGAGCAUCUGGAAUAGACCAAGUCUGGGGGUCAGCAAACCAAAGGGAAACAAAACCCUCCCCAUAAGAAAACCACUACAAUAUAACCAACAUCAUAGACAUAUGAAGAUUUGUAACAAGUCCUAUAAAUAACUCCAUAACAUAUAAACUUCAGUCUCUUCUAUAUAGAUUAAAACAGCGGUCCCCAACCUUUUUUGCGCCACGGACCGGUUUAUGCCCGACAAUAUUUUCACGGACCGGCCUUUAAGGUGUCACAGAUAAAUACAACAAAAUAAAACUAGUACCGGUACCGGAAAAAAAGAAGAUUUAUUCAUAACACACGUGAAAGACCCAGGAAAACAGAGUUAACGAUAAAAACGAUAACAAAAUAACGAUCAAAAACGAUAAAAACUCUGAAAACCAUACAUUUCACACCCGAGCCUCAUCUCUCGACCAAACGACGGUCCGUGGCCCGGCGGUUGGGGACCGCUGCAUUAAAACACCUUAACCACAGUUAGGUUUCAGCCCUCGCUGACUCAGAACAAAGUAAGACAAUCAGAGUUCGAUUGGUUUUUACUUGUGCAGGGGAAGCCUGGUCGGAUUCUCAGAGUUGCAAGCUCUACACCCAAACUCAGACAACUCCAACUCCAGCCUCCACUCGCAGCCUUUUAUUGAAUGAAAACAGUUACACAACCGCCCAUUGUAAACCCCAUAUGUUGUGUGGUAAAAGCUAAGGCACUGUGUGUGUGUGUGUGUGUGUGUGUGUGUGUGUGUGUGUGUGUGUGUGUGUGAGUGAGAGAGAGUGUAUGUGUGUCUGUAUACGUGACUUCCUGCUUACAAACGUUUUAACCGCAUCUCUAGUCAUAAAAGGGUCAUCUCCCCUCAACCUCGUAUAUGGCUUAACCUCUCUAACAGUCCACCAUUUACAUGGUGAGCCCAUAAAGGGCAGGAAGUGAACAUUCCUUACCAAAUAAGGAAACCAGAAUCUUAUAUAGAUUGUGCCUGCAGUUGAAAACUAUAGCUAGUAACAUCCCCAACAUCCUACAUGUGGGGGAGGAACAGAAAAUAUCUGAACAUACAGUUCAAGACAAGGUCCAAGCACAAUAAUGACAACUUUUAACAAAAUCACUCCAACACACACUCCCCUAGCCUGGCACAUUGGUUUUCUCCAGGAGCUCAUAAGCAGGUGAUUGAGCUGCUUUUACUCUUUACAAAGUGAGUACUGUUAACACUUCUCUUUUUACAUAUACAACUAAUUUAGGUUACAGACAAAUGAUUAAAUGUGAACA
ensembl:lncRNA